rnacentral:rRNA from 1 species
UACGUAGGGUCCGAGCGUUGUCCGGAAUUAUUGGGCGUAAAGGGCUCGUAGGCGGUUUGUCGCGUCGGGAGUGAAAACUCAGGGCUCAACCCUGAGCGUGCUUCCGAUACGGGCAGACUAGAGGUAUGCAGGGGAGAACGGAAUUCCUGGUGUAGCGGUGGAAUGCGCAGAUAUCAGGAGGAACACCGGUGGCGAAGGUGGUUCUCUGGGCAUGACCUGACGCUGAGGAGCGAAAGCAUGGGGAGCGAACAGG